AUGGAAACGGAUAGAGUCAACGUAUCUAGCUUGUAUUCAGCUGCCGUCCGUCGGCCCGGCUUGUCAAACAAACCCGCUUCUGGUUGGUUGGCGAGUUUGGAUUGGCGGGUGGUAGUGCAUUUGCAAGUGGAGUGCGCUGAGAGGUGUGGUUUAGCGAUUGGAUACUCGCUUUGAGGGCACUUCUUCGGAAGUGAAUCCCUGGCGGAUGGAAAAUUGUUUAUUCUGUACUCUUCGAGGGCAAUGGCCUACGAGUUUUGGCGCCAUCACGGCUAUCACUGGCGUCGGUCACAUGUGACACGUGCCUGUUGUUGUCGCGCUGUGGUGUUGGAAUUCUCUUUGCCCAUCUCGGUGUAAAAGUUGGUCAUCUAUCCGACCCGUCUUGAAACACGGACCAAGGAGUUUAGCGUAUACGCGAGUCAUUGAGUGUUGAAAACUCAAAGGCGUAAUGAAAGUGAAUUGUAAAUGAUAUGCGAUCUAUAGCACUGCGGUGUAUUAGAGCAGCAUAGCCCCGUUCCAAUUGCAUGCAAUGGGGCGGAGGUA
rnacentral:rRNA from 1 species